GGGGGGUUAGCUCAGAUGGGAGAGCGCCUGACUGGCAGUCAGGAGGUCAGGGGUUCGAUUCCCCUAUUCUCCACCA
rnacentral:tRNA from 1 species